rnacentral:rRNA from 1 species
UACGGGGGGGGCAAGCGUUGUUCGGAAUUACUGGGCGUAAAGGGCUCGUAGGCGGCCAACUAAGUCAGACGUGAAAUCCCUCGGCUUAACCGGGGAGCUGCGUCUGAUACUGGAUGGCUUGAGUUUGGGAGAGGGAUGCGGAAUUCCAGGUGUAGCGGUGAAAUGCGUAGAUAUCUGGAGGAACACCGGUGGCGAAGGCAGCUCUCUGGGACGGUACUGACGCUGAGACGCGAAAGCGUGGGGAGCGAACAGG